rnacentral:rRNA from 1 species
CCUACGGGGGGCAGCAGUGGGGAAUAUUGGACAAUGGGGGCAACCCUGAUCCAGCCAUGCCGCGUGUGUGAAGAAGGCCCUCGGGUUGUAAAGCACUUUCAGUGAGGAAGAACGCCUGGUGGUUAAUACCCAUCAGGAAAGACAUCACUCACAGAAGAAGCACCGGCUAACUCCGUGCCAGCAGCCGCGGUAAUACGGAGGGUGCGAGCGUUAAUCGGAAUUACUGGGCGUAAAGCGCGCGUAGGUGGCUUGAUAAGCCGGUUGUGAAAGCCCCGGGCUCAACCUGGGAACGACAUCCGGAACUGUCAAGCUAGAGUGCAGGAGAGGAAGGUAGAAUUCCCGGUGUAGCGGUGAAAUGCGUAGAGAUCGGGAGGAAUACCAGUGGCGAAGGCGGCCUUCUGGACUGACACUGACACUGAGGUGCGAAAGCGUGGGUAGCAAACAGGAUUAGAUACCCUUGUAGUC